UGAGGAAUAUUGGUCAAUGGACGAAAGUCUGAACCAGCCAUGCCGCGUGAAGGAUGACGGCCCUACGGGUUGUAAACUUCUUUUGUAUAGGAAGAAACCCCUCUACGUGUAGAGGGUUGACGGUACUAUUCGAAUAAGCACCGGCUAACUCCGUGCCAGCAGCCGCGGUAAUACGGAGGGUGCGAGCGUUAUCCGGAAUUAUUGGGUUUAAAGGGUGCGUAGGCGGAAAUUUAAGUCAGUGGUGAAAGCCUGCAGCUUAACUGUAGAAUUGCCAUUGAUACUGGGUUUCUUGAAUCUAAUAGAAGUAGGCGGAAUAUGACAUGUAGCGGUGAAAUGCUUAGAUAUGUCAUAGAACACCGAUAGCGAAGGCAGCUUACUAUGUUAGUAUUGACGCUAAUGCACGAAAGCGUGGGGAGCGAACAGGAUUAGAUACCCUGGUAGUCCACGCCGUAAACGAUGAUUACUCGCUAUUGGCGAUACACUGUCAGUGGCUAAGCGAAAGUGAUAAGUAAUCCACCUGGGGAGCACGAUCGCAAGGUUGA
rnacentral:rRNA from 1 species